rnacentral:misc_RNA from 1 species
GAAAAAACCUAUCCAGAGCCAAAAUCAACAACUUAUUUGACAAGUUAAGCAGAGUAAAAGUACAAAGUAUGCAGCAAUUAAUCGUAAAUUACAGCUUAAUUGUUGUAAACUAAUAGAAUAAUUAAAGGUAUACCUUAUUGGUUGAGACUUGAAGGUCUAAGAAAUCGUCUUGAUAGACUUUCCUCUUUUGCUUGAUGUGCUUCGUGUUGGUUACAGUCCAUCUCUUCAAAUUCUCCAUUGCUGCGGAUACGAGAGUGGCUUUGCAAUUCUAAAUUUGGAGCUUUGAAAAGAGUUGAGAGACUAAAUUUCCAGGUGGCGGGAAAGGAUUUUUUUUUUUUCCGAGUUUUCAAAGAGGAAGAUUGAUCAAAAUAACGUCGUUUGGAGACAGCUCCCUCUGAGAAGGCUAAAUAUUAGGGACGACGUCGUGUCCAUUAUACUCGGCUAGUCGGCUAGGUUGGGUUGGUUUACCCGAGAGAAGAUUCGGGUUAGGAAGCUACACUGACCAAGCUAUGGGUGUUGCUGAACCUGAACAUUGUCGUUUCGUCGUUGAAUAGGAUAAUUUUAUUCCCGAAUUGCUCUUGUAUGGAAUGCGAGGACCAGGAGUUGGAACCGAUCUCUCUCCUCCACAGCUAAUUUCUCUUAUCCGUCACACAAAAAACCCUAAUUUUUGUUUUUAUUGUUCUAAUUUUUCACACUGGCCGUCAUCGAUAUCGUUAGUCCGCCAUCAAUUAUCGUCAAUUCCUCUGAACUAUAUUUGGAGCUACCAGGUCGUGGAAUCUCUAGGAGAUCAAGUUCUUCGCUAAAUUGGAUCUGCUUGCCAUUUUCGUUUUGGUGGGUAAAUUAACUCCGCUAUUUGUUUGAUUGUUUCAAAUAUGAUAUCAUGUAUGUUUUGAAAAUGGGCGAGAAAAUUAAGAAACGAAUUCAUCUUGUUAUCGUUUGAGUUUGCAUAUUGACUCUGCUUUGGAUACAACACGGCCUUUGUUACUGGCGGCGCAUGUAACCCUAUUAAACCAAAAAUUUUAUGGCUUGAGCGCAUAGAAUCUCUGUUUACUUUACUUUAGAUAUAUAUAUUACUUGGGAAUUUGAUUUCUUAUCUUUACUUCAUCCCACUGCUCUAGUACUCCACUUUGGUUUUAUAUUCUGGCGAGGCAAGGUGAGGUGACUAAGAACACAAGCCAUUGGUUAUUGGUGUGGAGUUAUAGAUAUUGGGUUGUGAUGAAAUUAUGCUAUUACUAAAUUUUUGAAAAUGAAAGUGGAGGGAGAGAUGAAUGAGAGGGUAGUCUCCACUCUCCUAUACAACGAUUUAAUCUUUAGAUUUUAGUGUUACUUUUAUAGGGAAAAAUUGUACUGAUUUCUGUUAUUUGACAAUCUGGUUUUGAGGACAGUUGAGAAUUACACUUGAGUCCGGGUUUUUGUUCUUAAUUUUGGGGUUCUUCUCUUUUUCACUUUGCAUAGAUGUUCACUGUGUCAGCUACUCCAUUUUUAUGAUCUUUGCUCUGAAUAUUUGUGCAGUAGUCUUCCGACUCCAUAUCAAUAGAUUUGGCUCUUUAAAAUCCUCUCAUUGUGCACAAGUUUGCUUUGUGGGACACCGUUUAUUGUCUUCGUCAGACAUGCUUCUCUCCUUCUGGAAUAGUACAUCACUGCAAUGUUUGCCUUUUCAUUUUGACAGCUUGUUUUAUUUUGGUCUUGGCAUGACUCUAUUUAUGCUGCAUUGAAAUCCUUCGAAAUUUAGAAUUUUGUGUGCAAUUGAUUUUGCAUUUGUGGGAAUUGUAAAAAAGACAAUCUUCUUUAGGCGAAAGGGAAGAGAAGAAAGGGGGGCAAUCUUUUGAAAUUUUACUAGAAAUCUAUCAACAAAGUAUUAUUUGUAGAUGAGGUGUUGUAGAUCUGGUCAUAGGAAAUCUGUGAAGCAUUUUUCAAUAAAAACAUGAGCAUUUUUCAAUAAAAACAUGUCCAAUCAUUUUGACUUCUAUCUCUUAUCUUCUUGAUAUCACCAACGAAAAUUAUUCCCUUGCCUAAUAAACUUCAGGGGGGUCACGACUGCAAUACUAACAGCUGUAGCAAACUGGUGCACCUUUUGAUCUUCAAUCUCCGUGUUAGAGUGGCAUCCUAUCUUGUAAGGAACCUGCGGCCAAAGCUGUUAUGCAGAAACCAUGGGAGAUGGCAACACCACAACCAACAAUAGAAGCAUCUCAACUAACUCCAACAACAAUGAGAAGCCAGAAUGGCUGCAACAGUACAAUCUGAUUGGCAAGAUUGGUGAAGGAACUUAUGGUCUUGUGUUCCUGGCAAAAACCAAGUCUCCUGCAAAUCGUGGAAAGUCCAUUGCCAUCAAGAAAUUCAAGCAGUCAAAGGAUGGAGAUGGUGUCUCCCCUACUGCCAUCCGUGAAAUCAUGUUGCUUAGGGAGAUUUCACAUGAAAAUGUUGUGAAGCUUGUGAAUGUGCACAUUAAUCAUGCUGAUAUGUCUCUGUAUCUGGCUUUUGAUUAUGCUGAACAUGAUCUUUAUGAAAUCAUUAGGCAUCACAGAGAUAAGGGUUCCCAUGGUAUUAAUCAGUACACGGUGAAAUCAUUGUUGUGGCAGCUGCUCAAUGGACUGAACUAUCUUCAUAGUAAUUGGAUCAUACAUCGAGAUCUAAAGCCAUCAAAUAUCCUGGUUAUGGGUGAGGGAGAUGAGCACGGGGUUGUUAAAAUUGCUGAUUUUGGACUUGCAAGAAUAUAUCAAGCUCCCUUGAAGCCAUUAUCUGAUAAUGGUGUUGUUGUAACCAUUUGGUAUCGUGCACCUGAGUUGCUUCUUGGAGCGAAGCACUACACAAGUGCUGUUGAUAUGUGGGCUGUGGGAUGCAUUUUUGCUGAACUCUUGACUUUGAAGCCACUUUUUCAAGGGGCAGAAGCCAAAUCCACGCCAAAUCCCUUCCAGCUUGAUCAGUUGGACAAGAUAUUUAAGGUCUUAGGCCAUCCUACACUUGAGAAGUGGCCAACACUUGCCAGUCUUCCACAUUGGCAAUCAGAUUUGCAACAUAUCCAAGGGCACAAGUAUGAUAAUACGGGAUUGCAUAAUGUUGUGCAUCUCUCUCCAAAAAGUGCUCCAUAUGACCUCCUAUCUAAGAUGCUUGAAUAUGAUCCUCGAAAGCGGAUAACUGCAGCACAGGCUCUAGAGCAUGAGUAUUUUCGGAUUGAACCUCUACCAGGACGCAAUGCCCUGGUCCCUUCUCAACCUGGAGAAAAAGUGAUCAACUAUCCUACUCGUCCAGUAGACACAAAUACAGAUUUUGAAGGAACAACUAGUCUUCAGCCUCCACAACCAGUAUCAUCCGGAAAUGCAGUUUCUGGAGGUAUGCCAGGUGCUCAUGGAGUGGCGAACAGAUCUGCUCCUCGGCCAAUGCCAAUGGGCAUGCAGAGAAUGCAAUCUCAGGCCAUGGCUGGUUACAAUAUUGCUCAGGCAGGGAUGGGAGGUGGAAUGAAUCCAGCUGGCCUACCAAUGCCAAGAGGUGUUGCUGCCCAGCCCCAUCAGCAGCAACAUUUACGGAGGAAAGACCCACCGGGAAUGGGGUCUGGAUACCCUCCACAGCAGAAAUCCAGGCGCCAAUAAGCGAAUGACAUUUGAUUGUGAGCUAUAAUUUAACUUCUGUUGGAGCACAAUCCUGUCCCUCUAGAAGGGCAUCCAAGUUCAAGUCCAAGUCCAACUCAUUAAGGUUUUUCAGUCAUGCCAUGUAUGGGACAUUUGGUCAGCUGCUGUACUGUAGACCUGUUUCUGACAUGGCAGCGUCAUCUGAGCUUGAGGAGGCACCUUAAUUGAUGCCUAUCAGUAUGAAUUUUGAGCUACAUAUCCAAAUGGCAAGGUACCAUGGUAGGAGAGGGUGCAAGAAAAUAUCUUGUAUUUGGAAUGGUUCCUUGACGUUGGUGGACUAAAGUUUGUCAUUUCUUACCCUUUUAAGGGAUGUAUAUCAGUGUAUGAAAUUAAUACGAGACAAAGGCUUCUUCUUCUUGCUUGUGAAGCAGAAUUCACACGUUCAUUUUGGUUCAACAACGUUGAAUUUCAUUGGGCUGUGUCUCUUGUUGUGCUAUAUCGUGGUUGGUAUUUUCACCUUCAAAAA